rnacentral:rRNA from 1 species
ACGAACGCUGGCGGCGUGCUUAACACCUGCAAGUCGAACGGAAAGGCCCUGCUUUUGUGGGGUGCUCGAGUGGCGAACGGGUGAGUAACACGUGAGUAACCUGCCCUUGACUUUGGGAUAACUUCAGGAAACUGGGGCUAAUACCGGAUAGGAGCUCCUGCUGCAUGGUGGGGGUUGGAAAGUUUCGGCGGUUGGGGAUGGACUCGCGGCUUAUCAGCUUGUUGGUGGGGUAGCGGCUUACCAAGGCUUUGACGGGUAGCCGGCCUGAGAGGGUGACCGGCCACAUUGGGACUGAGAUACGGCCCAGACUCCUACGGGAGGCAGCAGUGGGGAAUAUUGCACAAUGGGCGGAAGCCUGAUGCAGCAACGCCGCGUGCGGGAUGACGGCCUUCGGGUUGUAAACCGCUUUCGCCUGUGACGAAGCGUGAGUGACGGUAAUGGGUAAAGAAGCACCGGCUAACUACGUG